rnacentral:rRNA from 1 species
GUCGGGAAUAUUGCGCAAUGGAGGGAACUCUGACGCAGUGACGCCGCGUAUAGGAAGAAGGUUUUCGGAUUGUAAACUAUUGUCCACAGGGAAGAAAAAAGACUGUACCUGUGAAGAAAGCUCCGGCUAACUACGUGCCAGCAGCCGCGGUAAUACGUAGGGAGCAAGCGUUAUCCGGAAUUAUUGGGUGUAAAGGGUGCGUAGACGGGAUAACAAGUUGGUUGUGAAACCCCUCGGCUUAACUGAGGAACUGCAACCAAAACUAUUAUUCUUGAGUGCAGGAGAGGAAAGUGGAAUUCCUAGUGUAGCGGUGAAAUGCGUAGAUAUUAGGAAGAACACCGGUGGCGAAGGCGACUUUCUGGACUGUAACUGACGUUGAGGCACGAAAGUGUGGGGAGCAAACAGG